rnacentral:sRNA from 1 species
GUUGGGCAUGUUGAUGCAUGCCUGUAAUCCCAGGUACUUGGGAGUCAGAGGCAGGAAAAUCACAAGUUUGAGACCAACCUCAAUUUUUCGAGGUCCUAAGCAACUUAGUGAGACUCUGUCUCAA